GGCGCACGGGUGCGUAACACGUAUGCAACCUACCUUUAACUGGGGUAUAGCUCAGAGAAAUCUGAAUUAAUCCCCCAUAACACUACGACAUGGCAUCAUGAUGUAGUUAAAGCUCCGGCGGUUAAGGAUGGGCAUGCGGUACAUUAGCUAGUUGGUGAGGUAAUGGCUCACCAAGGCUACGAUGUAUAGGGGGUCUGAGAGGAUGAUCCCCCACACUGGUACUGAGACACGGACCAGACUCCUACGGGAGGCAGCAGUAGGGAAUAUUGGUCAAUGGACGAAAGUCUGAACCAGCCAUGCCGCGUGAAGGAUGAAGGCCCUCUGGGUCGUAAACUUCUUUUAUUAGGGAAGAAACCUCAGGAUGCGUCCUGAGCUGACGGUACUUAAUGAAUAAGGAUCGGCUAACUUCGUGCCAGCAGCCGCGGUAAGACGAAGGAUCCAAGCGUUGUCCGGAUUUACUGGGUUUAAAGGGUGCGUAGGCGGAAAAUUAAGUCAGUGGUGAAAGCCCGCAGCUCAACUGUGGAACUGCCAUUGAAACUGGUUUUCUUGAAUAUAGCUGAGGCAGAUGGAAUAUAACAUGUAGCGGUGAAAUGCUUAGAUAUGUUAUAGAACACCGAUUGCGAAGGCAGUCUGCUAAACUAUUAUUGACGCUGAGGCACGAAAGCGUGGGGAGCGAACAGGAUUAGAUACCCUGGUAGUCCACGCCCUAAACGUUGAUUACUCGCUGUUGGCGAUAUACUGUC
rnacentral:rRNA from 1 species